rnacentral:lncRNA from 1 species
AUGCAGAAAAGAAGGAUUAUGGGCUGCCCAGGGAGGUGGUGGAGUCACCAACCCUGGAGGUGUUGAAGGAACGUCUGGAUGUUGUGCUGAGGGAUUUGGUUUAGCGAGAACCAUUGGUGAUGGGUGGAUGGUUGGGCUGGAUGAUCCUGUAGGUCUUUUCCAACCUUGGUGAUUCUGUGAUAUGGGGUGAACCAUUGCAGCCUGCAGUACCUAAAGGGAGCCUACAGACAGGAGGGGGGUCAGCUCUUGGGAAGGGGAGAUGACAGCAGGACGAGGGGAGAUGGUCUGAAGUUGAGGGAGGGGAGAUUGAGGUUGGACAGCAGGGGGAAAUUCUUUAAGGGAGAGCAGUGAGGUGCUGGAACAGCUGCACAGAGAGGCUGCGGACGGGCAUCCAUCCCUGGAGGUGUUCAACAGGUUGGAUGGGGAUCUGAGCAGCCUGGAGGAGCAUUAGGUGGGGAGGUUGGUGGCCCUGCGUUGGCAGGGGGUUGGAGAUCCAUCACCCUUGAGGUUCCUUCCAACCCUGGCCGUUGAUUCUGCGAGGGACGCGGAUCCGUGAGAGCUGGUGGUGAAAUGGGGUGAAGGUGGGGUUUUGGGAUGGCGGAGCUCUGCUCCCACCUUGGGGUUCUGUGAUGAUGCUGCGAGGCUGUGAUGAUCCCCAUCAGAUCAGGAUGCGGUGGGGGGGUGGCAUGGGAGGCUGGGCUCCUGCCCAGCUGAUGGAAAGGCCACCGCUCGCCUUUCCCCCGUCCAGCACCCGGCAGCCAGGACUUCUCAAAUGGUUUGGGUCCAACGGAUCAUUUCCAGCACGAGUCCCCGGGUUUUACAUCUCUAAGCCCCACUUCCAUGAGUCCAAACCCCACUUUUGGGAUCAAAUCCCCAAGUUUUACAUCUCUAAGCCACACUUCCAUGAGUCCAAACCCCAAUUUUGGGAUCAAACCUUGAAUUUUACAUCUCUAAGCCCCACUUCCAUGAGUCCAAACCCCAUUUUUGGGGUCAAAUCUCC